rnacentral:rRNA from 1 species
UGGAUCCUACGGGGGGCAGCAGUGAGGAAUAUUGGUCAAUGGGCUAAGGCCUGAACCAGCCAAGUCGCGUGAGGGAAGACGGUCCUAUGGAUUGUAACCCUCUUUUGUCGGGGAGCAACGAGGCCACGUGUGGCCGAAGUGAGAGUACCCGAAGAAAAAGCAUCGGCUAACUCCGUGCCAGCAGCCGCGGUAAUACGGAGGAUGCGAGCGUUAUCCGGAUUUAUUGGGUUUAAAGGGUGCGCAGGCGGCACGGCAAGCCGGCGGUCAAAUCGCGGGGCUCAACCCCGCCCAGCCGUCGGAA